rnacentral:rRNA from 1 species
ACGGAGGGUGCGAGCGUUGUCCGGAAUCACUGGGCGUAAAGGGCGCGCAGGCGGCGGUUCAAGUCAGAUGUGAAAGCCCCGGGCUCAACCUGGGAACUGCAUUUGAGACUGGGCUGCUAGAGUUCGGGAGAGGAGAGUGGAAUUCCCAGUGUAGAGGUGAAAUUCGUAGAUAUUGGGAAGAACACCGGUGGCGAAGGCGGCUCUCUGGACCGAGACUGACGCUGAGGCGCGAAAGCGUGGGGAGCAAACAGGA